rnacentral:rRNA from 1 species
AACGAACGCUGGCGGCAUGCCUAACACAUGCAAGUCGAACGAGACCUUCGGGUCUAGUGGCGCACGGGUGCGUAACGCGUGGGAACCUGCCCUUAGGUUCGGAAUAACUCCCCGACAGGGGUGCUAAUACCGGAUAAUGUCUUCGGACCAAAGAUUUAUCGCCUUUGGAUGGGCCCGCGUUGGAUUAGCUAGUUGGUAGGGUAAAAGCCUACCAAGGCGACGAUCCAUAGCUGGUCUGAGAGGAUGAUCAGCCACACUGGGACUGAGACACGGCCCAGACUCCUACGGGAGGCAGCAGUGGGGAAUAUUGGACCAUGGGCGAAAGCCUGAUCCAGCAAUGCCGCGUGAGUGAUGAAGGCCUUAGGGUUGUAAAGCUCUUUUACCCGGGAUGAUAAUGACAGUACCGGGAGAAUAAGCCCCGGCUAACUCCGUG